ACGAACGCUGGCGGCGUGCUUCACACAUGCAAGUCGAACGGAAAGGCCCUGCUUGCCGGGUGCUCGAGUGGCGAACGGGUGAGUAACACGUGGGUGAUCUGCCCCUUACUUUGGGAUAAGCCUGGGAAACUGGGUCUAAUACUGGAUAGGACCAUGCUGUAGGUGGUGUGGUGGAAAGAUUAGUUUCGGUAAGGGAUGAGCUCGCGGCCUAUCAGCUUGUUGGUGGGGUAAUGGCCUACCAAGGCGUCGACGGGUAGCCGGCCUGAGAGGGUGGACGGCCACAUUGGGACUGAGAUACGGCCCAGACUCCUACGGGAGGCAGCAGUGGGGAAUAUUGCACAAUGGGCGCAAGCCUGAUGCAGCGACGCCGCGGGGGGGAUGACGGCCUUCGGGUUGUAAACUCCUUUCAGCCAUGACGAAGCCCUUGUGGUGACGGUAGUGGUAGAAGAAGCACCGGCUAACUACGUG
rnacentral:rRNA from 1 species